CACGUAGGCGGCUUUCUAAGUCGGGGGUGAAAUCCCGGAGCUCAACUCCAGAACUGCCUUCGAUACUGGAAAGCUCGAGUCCGGGAGAGGUGAGUGGAACUGCGAGUGUAGAGGUGAAAUUCGUAGAUAUUCGCAAGAACACCAGUGGCGAAGGCGGCUCACUGGCCCGGUACUGACGCUGAGGUGCGAAAGCGUGGGGAGCAAACA
rnacentral:rRNA from 1 species